rnacentral:tRNA from 1 species
GGGGUUGUAGCUCAAUGGUAGAGUGCUCACUUAGCAUGUGUGAAGUCCUGGGUUUGAGCCUCAGAACCACA